GAGGAGUUUCUGAUUUUUGACUUCAAUCAAAGCAGGUUCUUCACUUUGCUUUACAUAUUCUGCCAGGGCAUCAUCAUCAUCAUUAUUAUUAUUAUUAUUAUUAUUAUUAUUAUUAUUAUUAUUAUUAUUAUUACUGUGAUCCCCAGGUUGUGUCUGUCAGGAGGUAUGGAAACAGCCAUACCACUGACACAUUCAAGUUUUAACAAACUCCUCUGAUUAUUUAAAGAAGAAGGAAACUGAGAUUUAAUUAUACUGCCAAUUUCAUACUGCGUCUCUGCAAAUUCCAUGCCUAUUGAAAAUGCUAAUGGGGACUAUUUAUUGGUAUUUUUUCCCAAAUUUUUUGUUGUUGUUUUGAAAGCAUGCUGUUGAUAUUUCUUUGUGCUGCUGAAUUUGGAUCUCAUGCACUUUGCAAAAGGUAUACCUGUCCGUGUUGUUAGAGUUUACAUUACAGAGAAGGAGAAAAACUACUUCUCCCAAAUCUCAUUUUUAAAAAAACGGGUGUAUGUUUUAUAGAAAGCCAAAGAUUGGCCUUUCAUUACCACGUUCCCCAGCUAGCAGUUCCAAAUCUAUAUUUUAUGGUGCAUAUCACAUAUAUUUAUAUCCCACAUGCAGAAUCAUUAAUCUGCUCCCUGGCUGUGCAAAGGACUUUUUGAAUAUUUUAUCAUCUCUCAUUCUACUUCCAAACUAAUGUAUAUUUACAAAUGCAGCCUCCUACGGGCAGACCGAUAUUGUUUCCUUUCUGCGUUUGAGUACCAAGGCACCGGCAUCCAAUACAGAUGGAAGCCUCGAUUUCCCAGCCACUUUUGUUGAAAGGAAGAACCAAUCCUAUCUCAAGCUGUGUGUGAGAAAAAGGACGGAGAUGGGGCCAAUUUGCAUAAUGUAAACAGGGGGAUGAUGCAAAAAAAAGGGCAAUACAUGCCUACAUACCAAAGCCUGACGGAUCUUUCGGCGCUGCUCUUAUUCCUUCCCAAUGUCAAUGUACCUUUCACCAUGCUCAUAUUUAUUUCCAGAGUUCUUGCUUACAAAUAUAGCAAGGGAAUUUAUAGUUUUCAAAGUAUCUUUGCACUCCUUGCCAGGGCAUUGCUUGGCGUGGUCACAGUGUAUUAUAAAAAGUUAUGAAAAUUCACCAAAAAUCGGAGGAUGCAGGAAACUUUCUGCAAUUUGUUGAGCUAAGAGUGUUGAAUGUGUUCUCCCACUGUACCAAAUUUGAUGAGGAUAGCUCCAAAAGUGAGGGCGGGAGAGCCCUGUAAAAGUCCCCUUCCCCGGGUGCUGGUUUUUUUGGCAAUUGCGCAUGCGCGCCCACCAUUUUAGAAACAUUCCGAAUCAUUACGAAUUUUCGGAAAUAUCUGAAAUUUUUGGGUGAAAAAAAUCGGAAAUAGUUUCUAUUUCGAAGCAUAUUUAGAAACGAGAAUUGAAACAUUUUUUUCAUCGAUCGGACAUGCCUAGUAGGAACAUAUUGCUAGCAGAAACAGGUUUUGCAUUCACUGUCUUUUUUGGCAAUCGUCCCUUGCAAAGGACCUCUAUGAGACAAAUGCAGUAAGUAGGGCAAGGAUUCCUCUUUCCAAAUGCUUCCUGUUGAGAAGGAGACCCCACCCCACCAGCCCUCAUCGGCACCCAACACAAAGGCUGACUUUUUUUCUCUCCAGAGGAUAAAUUUAACUCCUAAUGAGCGCCAAAGCAAAUUUAUUCCAUACACUGUAUGUGCUGUGCUAAAAUUGCUCUUUUACAGCUUCACAGGCCCGGCACAAAGCAAAGAAAUGUGACAAUGUUCGGGUGUCGUCGCCGCCACCGCCGCCGCCGUCAUUUCGGGUGGCCUGCCUGUUAACGAAGGCAUGUGUAUUUUCUAUGGAAUUAAAGCGUGCCCAGAAUAGAUUUCUGUGAUAUGCAAAAACCAAAGGAAGAAGCUGCCUGACUGUUCUUACUUUGGGACAUUUUAACAGACACGAGA
rnacentral:lncRNA from 1 species